UAGGGGAGCUUCCCAUACGGGUUGAAGCAUGACCGUAAGGACAUGUGGACAGUAUGGGAGUGAGAAUGUUGGCAUGAGUAGCGAGAUGUGGGUGAGAAUCCCACAGGCCGUAAACCCAAGGUUUCCAGGGGAAGGUUCGUCCGCCCUGGGUUAGUCGGGACCUAAGCUGAGGCCGAAAGGCGUAGGUGAUGGACAACAGGUUGAUAUUCCUGUACUACCGAUAACCGUUUGAGAGAUGGGAUGACACAGUAGGAUAAGCUAAGCACACUGUUGGUUAUGUGUGCCCAAGCAUUGAGGCAGUCAAAGUAGGCAAAUCCGCUUUGAUAAUGCUGGGAUGUGAUGGGGAGCGAAAGUUAGUGGCGAAGUAGCUGAUUUCACACUGUCA
rnacentral:rRNA from 1 species